CACGUAGGGCGCAAGCGUUGUCCGGAAUUAUUGGGCGUAAAGAGCUCGUAGGCGGUCUGUUGCGUCCGCUGUGAAAACUCGGGGCUUAACCCCGAGCCUGCAGUGGAUACGGGCAGACUAGAGGUAGGUAGGGGAGAAUGGAAUUCCCGGUGUAGCGGUGAAAUGCGCAGAUAUCGGGAGGAACACCUGUGGUGUAGACAGCUUACUGGACCAUUUCUGACGCUGAGACACGAAAGCGUGGGUAGCAAACAGG
rnacentral:rRNA from 1 species